rnacentral:rRNA from 1 species
UGGGGAAUAUUGCACAAUGGGCGCAAGCCUGAUGCAGCAACGCCGCGUGAGGGACGACGGCCUUCGGGUUGCAAACCUCUUUUGGCAGGGAAGAAGCGAAAGUGACGGUACCUGCAGAAAAAGCACCGGCUAACUACGUGCCAGCAGCCGCGGUGAUACGUAGGGUGCAAGCGUUGUCCGGAAUUAUUGGGCGUAAAGAGCUCGUAGGCGGUUUGUCGCGUCUGCUGUGAAAACCCGAGGCUCAACCUCGGGCCUGCAGUGGGUACGGGCAAACUAGAGUGCGGUAGGGGAGAUUGGAAUUCCUGGUGUAGCGGUGGAAUGCGCAGAUAUCAGGAGGAACACCGAUGGCGAAGGCAGAUCUCUGGGCCGUAACUGACGCUGAGGAGCGAAAGCAUGGGGAGCGAACA